UGUCUGAGAAACUAUGUUAGUAAGAAGAGUAAAGCUGGACCAUCAGGAAGGGCCAAUAAGCGUCAGGUUGGCAGAAGCUGGGGCUACCAGCAAGAACUCACCCCGCCCCAUGGAUUUGAACCGCCAACCUUAUGAUCAGCAAGUUUAGCAGCUUGGCAGUUUAACCCACUGUGCCACCAUGGACUCCAUCUGCAGGGGACGCGGUGGCCUAUCUAUUAAGAAGUUUGGUAUAUGUUCUCUUUCAAUGUCCCACGAGCAUCAGAGAAGCAUUUGGUAGGGGUGUAGGAGACCUUCGCAGCAACUGCACCCAUGGGCUGUCAUCUAGCUCCUAUUUCCGAUGUGAAAUCAUUUCUGUUUAAGCAAGCCUUUGGAUUUUUUAAUUGUCCUGUUAUAUUGAUUUUUAGCCUUCAAAGUGGCUGAAUAGGCAUGUUAUGUAUGUAUGUGUACUUUUCUAGAUCUAUUGUUUUGAACUGUCUUGAGCAACAAAUAUUUUAUAUGCAGAAAAUCUCUGUGUGGGGGGUAAGUCUAGACAGCCUCUUUACAUUUAAAGCUUCCGUCACCCUGCCCCUUUAAGACUCCCCUCAGAGAUGGAGCCUCAGGCAAGGCACUUCUGGUUCUUGGAGGACUGGAAGGUGAAAAGAGAGGAAGGCCAGAAAGUCUACAAAAUAGCACGUCCAGUCAAAGCUGUAUUCAAGUCCAGUCAGAGCUGUAUUCAAGUCCAGUCAGAGUUAAAUAUUGAGACUAUCUUAGAGACAGUUAAAUAACCAUACAAGAAAGAGACAAUAAGAAGAAAUAAAGAUUCAAGAGCCUCAGUUUGUCCAGAACUGUGUCUAUCUCUCAAAGACUUUACAUUUUCUCAUAAAGACUUUGUAGUGAGACUCAGGAGGAGAGAAAGUCUAAAAUUCUUGUCAGUUAAUAAAUUCAUGUUUGAUUUAA